rnacentral:miRNA from 14 species
CCAGUUAAAUUUGAAUUUCAGAUGCCCAACAAAUAUUUUUGUAGUGUGAAUAUGUCCCACAAAAUAUUUGGGACAUACUUAUACUAACAAUUGUUAUUUACCUGAAAUUCAAAUUUAACUUGG